GACGAACGCUGGCGGCGUGCUUAACACAUGCAAGUCGAACGGAAAGGCCCUUUCGGGGGUACUCGAGUGGCGAACGGGUGAGUAACACGUGGGUGAUCUGCCCUGCACUUUGGGAUAAGCCUGGGAAACUGGGUCUAAUACCGAAUAUGAUCAUGCGCCUCAUGGUGUGUGGUGGAAAGCUUUUGCGGUGUGGGAUGGGCCCGCGGCCUAUCAGCUUGUUGGUGGGGUAAUGGCCUACCAAGGCGACGACGGGUAGCCGGCCUGAGAGGGUGUCCGGCCACACUGGGACUGAGAUACGGCCCAGACUCCUACGGGAGGCAGCAGUGGGGAAUAUUGCACAAUGGGCGCAAGCCUGAUGCAGCGACGCCGCGUGGGGGAUGACGGCCUUCGGGUUGUAAACCCCUUUCAGCAGGGACGAAGCGCAAGUGACGGUACCUGCAGAAGAAGCACCGGCCAACUACGUGCCAGCCGCCGCGGUAACAC
rnacentral:rRNA from 1 species